rnacentral:rRNA from 1 species
UACGGGGGGGGGCAAGCGUUGUUCGGAAUUACUGGGCGUAAAGGGCGCGUAGGCGGCCUGCUAAGUCGGAUGUGAAAUCCCUCGGCUCAACCGAGGAACUGCAUCCGAUACUGGCGGGCUUGAAUCCGGGAGAGGGAUGUGGAAUUCCAGGUGUAGCGGUGAAAUGCGUAGAUAUCUGGAGGAACACCGGUGGCGAAGGCGGCAUCCUGGACCGGUAUUGACGCUGAGGCGCGAAAGCUAGGGGAGCGAACAGG